CAGAAAUCUGAGGAGAAAGGGCUA
rnacentral:piRNA from 1 species